UGAGGAAUAUUGGUCAAUGGGCGGGAGCCUGAACCAGCCAAGCCGCGUGAGGGAUGAAGGCCCUAUGGGUCGUAAACCUCUUUUGUCAGGGAACAAAAGCGAGUAUGUAUACUGGUCUGAGUGUACCUGAAGAAAAAGCAUCGGCUAACUCCGUGCCAGCAGCCGCGGUAAUACGGAGGAUGCGAGCGUUAUCCGGAUUUAUUGGGUUUAAAGGGUGCGUAGGCGGCGGUGCAAGUCAGCGGUAAAAGCCCGGGGGCCUCAACCCCGGCGAGCCGUUGAAACUGCAGUGCUAGAGAAGGCGAGAGGUACGCGGAAUGCGCAGUGUAGCGGUGAAAUGCUUAGAUAUUGCGCAGAACUCCGAUUGCGAAGGCAGCGUACUGGCGCCUGACUGACGCUGAGGCACGAAAGCGUGGGGAUCGAACAGGGAUUAGAUACC
rnacentral:rRNA from 1 species